UUUUUGAACUAUAUCAUGCCUUUGAGGCUUUUUGUUCUUGCAGCUAGACCCAAAGACUGUGAUGCUUCAGAGAAAGAAAUGCUGCUUAUGUUGAUCUGGGUAAAGAGAUCAGCUGCUGUUCCUGGGAUUCUACAGCUCAUGUGCAAGUUCUUCAGUCUCACGGAAACACCAGAGGACUAUACGAUCAUUGUGGAUGAAGAGGGGUUUCUAGAGCUCCCUUCAUCAGAACACUUGAGUGUGGCAGAUGCUACGUGGCUGGCUCUCAAUGUGGUUUCAGGCGGAGGCAGCUUCUCCAGCUCCCAGCCCAUCGGGGUGACCAAGAUUGCCAAGUCAGUAAUAGCGCCGCUGGCUGACCAAAACAUUUCUGUAUUCAUGCUGUCCACCUAUCAGACGGACUUCAUCCUGAUACGUGAGCGGGACCUGCCCUUUGUGAUGCAUACGCUGGCUGCUGAGUUCACCAUCCUCAGGGUCGUGAAUGGGGAGACGGUGGCUGCCGACGACUUCGGGAUAACGAAUGGGUUUGUCAAGCCAAAAUUGGUUCAGAGGCCUGUUAUCCAUCCUCUUUCAAGUCCAAGUAAUAUGUUCUGUGUCACCAGCCUGGAUCCAGAUACCCUUCCAACUGUUGCUACACUCCUAAUGGAUGUCAUGUUUUACUCCAAUGGAGUAAAAGACACGGUGGUGGGCAGUGAAGACUCUGGACACAUUCGCUUUUUCUCCUUCUCUCUCAUUGAGGGUUACAUCUCCUUGGUGAUGGAUGUACAGACACAGCAGAGGUUUCCUAAUAAUUUGUUGUUUACAAGUGCAUCUGGAGAACUCUGGAAGAUGGUUCGGAUUGGCGGGCAGCCACUUGGCUUUGAUGAAUGUGGAAUUGUCGCUCAGAUUUCUGAGCCUUUGGCUGCCUCUGACAUCCCAGCCUACUACAUCAGUACUUUUAAGUUUGAUCACGCAUUGGUACCCGAAGAAAAUAUAAAUGGUGUCAUCAACGCACUCCAAGUCAGUCAAGCUGAAAAACAUUAGAAAUCUUCUGAGCUGGUUGCAGAUGCUUUUUUAUUAUUAUUCUUUUUCUCACAGUAUUUCUUGAAAAAUCUGAUUCCGGAGAGAGAGAUUGAGGUGCCAUGAAAAAAGACUGUGAACCGAUGAGCAGAAGCAACUCCAACAAGCUUUUUUUCUUUCUGUCUUAAAAGUGGGAGGGCGGGGAGUUGUUAUGAUGGUUUCCUGACAUUAGACUCCAAAGCAAACUGCUUUCCUGCUUUUUUGGUGUGAAAGGAAUUGCAGGUAGACAGGCAGCCUCUUGCUGAAAUGCAGAGGUAUAGACAGAUUGCAUACACAGUAGCUUUAGGGAGAGCUUCAAAACAACACCUGAAAGGGAAGAGCUGCUUUUUUAGCAGAGAGCAUGAAAAGCAUAAAUGAAAGAAAUGUGGAAUUAAAAGGAAAACAAAACAUUGAACUGUAUUGAUCUUUCCACUAGCAUCAGACUAUAUAAAAAUGGUAACAAUCCCUUAUGAUCUAUGUUCAGAUUGGGUACUAUUUUCCUUCACAAUUCAGUGUUGUGAGAGGGGGGGAAAUUAACUGUUUUUUUCUUCUGCAAUUCAGAAUUGGCUGCACAGAGAACAUUGCAGCAUGGUUCUUUAUUAAGGGCUGUCUUCUGCUGAUCUGUACUUUGGGGGCCUCUGUGUGCUGUUGAAGUUGCGUAUAUUAGCUCCAUUUUCCACAGUCCCCCAACAUCCUCUUACUACAACAUUGUGUCCAGGCAUCCUUCCAAGCCCAAGAAAGUUUGCCAUUCUCUGAUGUCCAUUAUCUCAUGCCAUUCCUUCCCUUUUCCCCGAUUCCCAAGCUCUUAACAUGUAGGGAUUGAGGAUGGUUGUAAAGAGGCCCACUUGCGUAACCAGCCUAGUAGAUGCAGGUGAUGUACACUCAAAUCCACUCCCUUCCAUUCCUGCUGAGCCACUUUCGCUCCCCUGAUGCUGUUCCGCCACAUCUCUAUUCACAAGGGUAAGGAAGCAUCCGAAAGUCCCGAGCUCAUGGCUUCCUCAAAUGAGGACUCCUCCUGGACACAACAUUGGUUUUAUCAGUGUAGCUCAGGGCUCUGUUGCCUUUCUGCACCCACUCACGUCCUCCUGCGGCCAAGGCUCUUGGUGAACGCGUUGCCAUUCAGUAAAACAGUUGGCCAAGAGCACUGUGCUUUUGCAGGGGAUGUUGAUACCCGUGCCCUUGGGGUCCUCUUUAUUUCACCUGCUACUUAAUUUCUUUGGUGAAACGUGGUUCUGGUUUGGCUGUGAAGCUAGGAGUGGGAGUCUUUUCAUUGACUCGGUCUCUUUUCUAACUGCAAAGCCCCGAGGGCCUGCUCCAAAGCCACUGAGUGCUACAGAAAUGUGCUGAAACUCUGACCUGGUUCCUUAUCCCUGUAUUACCAGUUCUUUUAGAGGAAAGUGAUGUUGGUCUUUAAUAGACAGCCCUACAGCCUGCAGUCCUGCCAGGAGCUGCUUACAUUUUGACAUCCCCUUGCAAAAGAAGCAAUGAGCCAGUGGGAAUGAAGCUCAGUAGCCCAACGUUUUACCUGGUGCCAUGCAUCUUCUUCAGCCCACUUCAGAACUGCCCCGCGGUCAAGACAGGGGUCGAGCUGAUGGUGAGUAUAGAGCGGGGAGGGCAAACAUCGCAUGGGAGUCUGCAAUGAAUGCACCUGAAAUGCCAUACGUCAGCAGCAACCCGCUCUCUGGUGAGACACAGGAUUUGUGAGGAGGAAGGCCACAUUGAGAUCUUGUUUCAUAGGUGGGAAACUGAAUUUCCCUUGCUCCUUUUAACCUGUUUUACCUCUCCCCCCACGCUUUUUUUUUUUUUUUAAUUAAGAAAUUGUGGAUCCUGUAGCUUUCGUGAGGAUUUACAAUCCCAGUGUAACUUCAGAGAGAGCCACCUACAUAGACCUGUAUCUUGCAGAUUUUCUCCAGGCAUCUGUUCCCAACUAGUACAUAUGAUAUAUUCAUACGUGUGUGUAUGUGUUUAUGGUACAAACACAGAUACACACACGCUGUUUACAAUGUCCUUCAGAUUACACAAGUAUUCAGAGCCUGAUAUUUGGUUUAUCAGAAAACACCCUCUAGCCCUGAUGUUGCAGGGCCCACAAAGUUAAUGGAGGAUCCUUUUGGGGAUUUUUUCAAUCAAUCUGUUAAACAGUUAAUGAAACUAGAGCAUCUUUAGGCAAUAACAUGGAUCUCUUUCCUUUUUAGACCCUAAUUCAGUCCACCAUCGUUAAGUGCUUCACUUUAAACACCUGCUUACUUUCCAUUGACUUAAGCCUAUGUUCAAUGUUAAGCACUUACUUAAGUGCUUCACUGAACUGGGGCCUUAAAAAGAACAUUUUGCUUUCCCUUGAGGCAGCUUUUCAACUGCCCCAUGGAGAACUAUAGUAACUCUAGACUUUGGGGGUUAAUGCUAAUUACAGAUACGACACCGUGUGUCUCUGGAUAUUUGCUCGAAAAGCUGCUUUCCUCAUGCUCUUUUGCAGCAUAUACAGAGACAUGUUGAGUAGUGUGAUCUUUUUUAAAAAAAAAAAUCCCACCUACUGAAGGACUAAAAUUGGUAUACAAAACUGUUCUUUGCCUAAAGAGCCCUUAUGUCAAACCACAAGUCCCAACUGAAGUCUGGCUGAGCUGUUGGAAGGUUAUGGGGGUUUGUUUUGUUGCUUUUCACAGUACAGACACUAUAGGGUUUUCAUCCAUUGGGACAGUGGAUGUGUCCCUUUGUGGGACUAUGGUUUUAUUUAGCGAUGCACAGACUCCUUGAAUGAGAUCAAAACUGCCAUGUACAACUUGUCAUUCAAGGUCUUUGAGCAGUAGAGCUGCAGACUUUUUUGCAAUGUUGUGGGGCUAGAAAAUUUUGCUUAUCAAGGGUGUUAGCUAUCGGAAGACUAUUAUUAAUUAGUUUACACACUGGAGAACAAUUACAUGUGUUACCCUCUCCGUGUGAUAUUUCUGCUUCCUUAGGACGAAGACGUUUAUCUGAGGGGAUUACUUGAAAUGAGCAGCAACUUUACUGAGCCUUAACAGAAACAGGAAAAUAAUGAUCUUGUUAUAAUUGUUAUUUACACUGUGCACUCAGGCUAGUCUAGAUGACAAUAUUUUUUUUUCCGAGGGAGUGGGCCUUAAGUUUAUGAUGAUUACGGAUGUCUCUGGCGUGCUUUAAAACUCUCUUCACAAGGCAGAUCGAUAUGCUGUCAUAAAAACAUUAGCCUUGAAAAGUCACGUGGUGUGGUAUGACAUUGAGUGAUUCAGUAUCUCUAAAGUGGCCAUAGGAUUUGCUGUUUUUUCCCCUCUCUUUUUGUCUUCGUAACCACAGAAGACCUAGAUUAUUUUGGACAACUGUCUGGAUAACUUGAUGUGGUAGCUAAGGAGUCUUUGAAGAGCCAGUGCAAUAGGCAAGUUGUACCCUGAUAAUGAGAACUAAGCUGUAAUUUCCAGCUCGGGGAAUCAGAGCUGUGCUAACUCUGAUCAAGUUAAUAUGCUAAAAUUAGCCGUGUAGCCAAGGUGGUGCAAGUGACAGGACGGGCUUGCCGCCAGAGUAUGUAUCUAGAAUUUCAGAUGGGAUCUUACUCAAGGCAGCUAGCCUUUCCGCUGUUUCUGCAGCUUCACUGAUCUUUGUAGCAUGCUAGCUUGACCAGAGCUAAAGUGGGUAUGUCAAUCCAAGCUGGAAACAACACCUCCAGCACCAGUGUAGACAUACCCUACGAAACUAGUAAAACAACCAGGUUUGGUGCCAGGAUGGGGCAUUGAACACCCGAGAACUAGUGCAAGAUGUGAAUGGGAUCUUCAUGGUUUCAGCAUAUCUCUGUCAUUGGCUUGGACCAGUACCUCAGACCCAAAUUUGGGGAGAGUUCAGAUUGGGAUCCUGCUCUGGCCCAUGUCUAGCUGGUAUAAGGGCUGUGCGUUGCUUGUAUGUUACAGCAGCUAUUAACUCUGCAGGCUAUGCUUGCUGGGUUGGGUGGCGACAGGAGGGGGAAUCCCCUAAAGCAACAUGUUAAAGCUUUGUUUAAAACAACCCAAGGACUUCACAAUACCCUUUCUUUUAGCACCGGAGGAAAUCCAAGUGGAUGUACCUUCCUCGCAGUGCUGACCCCAAACUACACAGCUUACUCCACUGCUGUGAGCUUUGGAGCCUUGCUGCUACCCUUUUCCCUCCAGCAUUGCAGCACUUCCCUGCAAGGGGCAGAGCAAGGAAAUCCAAGACACUCUGAACAUGCUCAGGAUGAGUGGAGUCGCAGCAGUAGGGUAAGGAAAGGAAUCCUUUCCUAGGCAUGAUCUGGAUUGCCACAUCCAUUUGGCCCUGCUGCCGCCCCGGCAGUCUUUAGCACCUGAUUUUGUGCAAAAAAUAGAUAUUUUCAAGGGUUGGGUUUUGUUUUUUAUUUAAGGCCUUGUAACAGUUGUGUCUCUGUAAGGAUUGGUGGAAUUGCACUAUUCCUUAAACAUUACAUAUAUGAGGGAAGAGUGGGAGAUAAGUGUGUAAGAGUGAUUCUGUAUUCCUUCAGGCAUUCUGCAUAAAUAAAACCAUGGCUCUGCCUUCAACCCGCCAGGGCUGAACCUAACUGCGUGAGGCUCUCUCUGACCCUUUUGUUGUGGAGUUUUAUUCAGCGGUGGUUGCUGAUCCAGCUGGAUUUUUGAAGCUUACAUUAACUGCAUGGAAUCCUCUUCACUUUCUCCCCUCCUGCCCCCAUCUUCGUUGCGUUGCACAAAAAUUCAACAACCACCAAAAUGUUUAUGCGCAUCUGUUUCUAAAAGGGAGCAGGGGAAAAGCAGUUCUCAGUCUCCUUCCUUAUUUCGCUGAGGCCUUUGUUUUCUUAGAAAUAUAAACCUCUGAUGCGUGUUACUGUGUAGCAAUGACUAAUUUUUGUCUUUUUCUAUUGAUUUCAGCUGCAGAUCCCUUUUUGCUGUGCGAGCGCGGGUGUGUACGGUCCUAUAAAUGUAGCGUGUUUACAGAGAAAUACUAGUAUGUAUCUAUUGUACACAUAUAUAAAUACCUGUGUUUUCUGUUUUAUGGCUAUAUACUGUACAUGGCAUAUAUACUUGAGCAAUAUAGGUUAAUAUAUACUAUGUGAAUGUGUGUAUAUUCUAGAUACACACUUAGCGUGUGUAUAUGUAAUAAGUACUAUUUAUACACAUAUAUUCACCAUAUAUUUUUAAUUCAAGUAUAUAGGCAAUGUGACUAUUUAGAUAUGCUGGCUGGAUUUCUCAAGCCUUUUUAAAAAAGGAGAAGCAGCUAAUGAAGCACUGGCUUUUUUCACUUGUUGCCAGUAGGCAGAGACCUUUAAGGAUGUCCAGAGCAAAGUAGCUGCAGGCUGAUCUUGGUUUUGUCAGUUACAGAAACACUCCUUUCCUUUUUAGUUUGCUGCCUUGAAUAGAACGCGGUCUAGAAAAGAUGGUGUGGUUUGUUUGUUUGUUUUAACUGCAUUGUUUUGCUGCAUUGAAUUGCUUUAACGAGUAAAUAGUGAAUGUUGGGUUUCAAAGUGCCUGUUCAGACCCCAAAGUCCAUUUGGCACAGAAUAGGGCGUCCACCCAAUUGUGUGAACAAGUGCAGAACUGGGAUCUUGAUUUUAUUUUAUCUUUUGGAGUUCAUACGCAAUUUUUGUUUAAAGCAACCGAGCAGCUUUCUAACUUCAGCCUGUAGGAGGAGCACAGUCUGGACAGCUGUGAAUGAAAACUUGUGGGAAAACCUGCUGCCCUUUGAGCCCGUGUUGACUAAAAGGUCAGCUAGUUCAGUGUGAAAUUCUCACAGCUCUCCCUGUGCGAGUGCACAUGUGUUUCUUUGUUGGUGCUUGGGAUUUUCUAACUGGAUUUUAUCAUGAAGGGUUUUAGCUUUUUAGAAAUAGGCAAUUUUGGGGAGAUCUGGCUGCUGAUGAUUUAAUGGCAAAAAAACAAGCUGCUGCUAAUGCAGCUGUUUGCUGUUUAUUAGAACCUUAGUAUUUAUUGCCCUGAUUGGCAGUUUAAAUCAAUGCAUAGUUUUAUAACAGGUCGAAGUGCGGGGAGGGUUUUUUAAAAAUAAGAAUGAAAAAUCUUGACGUGGUAUGUGAAAGUUUGUUGUUCUUGCAUCUCAUAAUCAGAAUCUCCUGACUCCCUGGAGUGGUGUUUGUAAGAACCCAGGUGGGAAAGGUACUUUACCAAAAACAUCAACUAGUUUUGUUUUCUUGCUUCUGUAAACAGAUCCUGUCUAAACCACUUUAAGCUACCAACUUUUGUCUUCCCCAUAAGUGCAUAAUUGGACAUCCUUUUAGAGGUUUGGAUGUCUUUUUGCAUCCCUUAAGAAACAGGUUUGGUUUUUGAAUAAUUCGGGAUUGUUAUGGGAUUAUCUCCUUUUUUCCGUCCUGUGGAGAGGUUUAGUUCAAGUCUCCUAUUUUGUAGGGGUCUUUGAGGUUGUGGAAUCUGUGGUAGGUCUUGUUAGAAUUAGGAUCAUCUUAAUGGAAAUGUGGUUUCAAGAGAGUGAUCCUCAGGCAGCUAUUUCCAGUGUAUCUAUUUUUUUUUAAUUAUUUUUUAGUUUCCCUCCCAGUUUAGUCUGACUAUUCUCGGGGCAGCCAGAGAUGCCUCUGAACAGAGAUGAAUUGGGCCUUCUCUGUAACAAAAAACAUGCUGAUGUCAGACCCUGCCAAGGGGAUGCAAGUGAAGUCUAGCAGUAAUUUACUCUCCCGUACAAAACACACCAGGCUCUUCGAGGCACACUGUAGAAGAGAAGUGUUACUGGAAGUGAGGAUCCCUGGAGCCAGUGAAACCAUCCUGGAGUAAUUAAUCAGGUUCAGUUUAUCUGGAAUCUUAGGUUUUAUUUUCUUGGCUCUUCAAGGAACAUAAGGGUGUCAAGUACGGCAGCCGAAGCACACUGUCUCUGCAGCAUGCUUUUGCUAGAUAGUAACUUGGAGAGUAACCACGAACAUGGGCUUUCCCUCUGGAGACAUAUUAGAAGGGAGGGAGAGGAGGGCAGAGAACACGCAGCAUAGUAAAAAAGCUCAAUUUGGAGAAGACAAUAAAUCUGUCCUAUACAUUCAAAUGCUUUUGACUCCUAUAGUCUAAUAUUUUGUGAGAUGAUUACCCAGGUAUUCCCACGCCCACAAAGUCUCUCAAGUGGGCCUCUCCCAUUGAGUCACUUGGGGUCAGAUUUUGAUACCGUAAGAUGGUCACAUUACCUUUAUUCCACAAAUCGUAUUAAUCAGGGUGGACUUGAUUUAAAGCAAAUUGAUUUAAAUCACUAGUCAGGAAGACUCGAUUUAAUCAUGGUUUUCUACAUAAAAGUGCAUUCUUGUUGGUUGUUAUAACCCUAAUACAUAUUCUCCACAACUCAGAGAUAGAUGUAGUUUUCAUUUUUAGAAGGUACAUGCCAUACAUUUUUAAACAGUGAUUUAUUUUGAAAACUUUUCAGAUUAGUUUUACAACUAUAUCAGAAAACAAAUGAUUGUUUGGUUAUUUCAUUUACCAAAGGUAAUUGAAGCAGAUAUUUAUGAAGUCAUUGGGAGGUGAACUAUCUCAAAUUCAACAGGUUAAUCAUUAAUAUUUGGAGGAUUUUCUUGCCAUGCUGUCUUAGGAGGAGAACAUCACCAGACAGACAUUUAAAUUGUUUUAGUUAACUAAAACAACAACGUUAAGUAUUCUGGAUUUUUUUCUUCAACAGCAAACAUAUAAUAUUUUAACAAAACAAGCGUAUGUCCCUCGCUUCUCACAUUUAUCUCCAGACUUCUUCUCCUUGUCCAGAUCUAUUCCGCCCCCAACAAGCUUCUAUUCAUUGAACUUUUUGAAACUUUGCACCUUUAGAGAGAGGUAAGGGAUUGACUCUGUGUACACAAAUUUGCAGAGGGACAAUAGAGUUGAGGUCUGUUAUUUUUCACCUCUAUAUAUUAUUUAUUUAUUUUAAAACAUUUUUGCUGUUAACAAGCAUGUUACCUCUGGAGACACAAAUCCACAGUUUGAGAACUGAAAAACUAAGCAUCUCUGAUGAUAUCCUCUAGCCUGAGCACUGAGUCCCAUUGGGUAGAUAGAAAGAUUAAUCUAAAUAAUCUAUACAGAAGCCCCUGGAACCCGAUAAGAUUGGGUCCCUAAUCCAUGAACUAUUGGAACUCAUUUACAGAACUUUUCUUAAACAUUACGUGAAUAUAUUGUCUCAUACUUUAAAAUUAGAAUUUAUAAUCCUUAUUCCAUGAUGAGAUAUCUUUGAGCUAUAAGGUAUCUUAAUUAAAACUAUCUUUAGAUAGGCUUUUUCCUCAAAAAGCAUUUUACCAAAAAAAUCCGAUUUAAAUAAAAAAAAAAUCAGAUUUUUUUUUUUUUAAUCAUUGAUUUUUAUCCACCCUGGUAUUAAUGAUUGAGUCGUCCCACUGAAGCCACGGAAACUGUUUGUGGAGUAAAGCGCUAAUCGGCGUGAGUUAUCAGCAUCUUGCCCUGAAAAAUGUACCAUUUUUGUCGUCUUAGAUCUUCCAUAAUACACCGACAUUUUUUGCUCUUACAGAUGUAGUUGACCUUGAGGAGCCAGAUCUUCAGCUGAUGUUAGUUGAUAGAGCAUCAUUGACUUCAGUGUAGACAUGGCAACUUACGCCAGCCUGGGGGCCUGUCCUGUGAUCUUCCUAGUCCUUUUGGAAUCCUCACAUCAGUGGCAGUAGUUUCACACGCGGGUCCUGGCCCCACAUUCUCCCCAGGAUAAAUCAGAAGUGAAUGCAGCUGCUGAUAUAAACCCAUUGCAGGUGAGAUCAGAAUUGGGCCCUUCACUCAAUAACCAGAACGAAAGCAUGUAUUGGAUGGUUUUAGGUCAGGCAGUGUGUGCGGGGGGGGAACCCCUGUGGGUGAUAAAUGGUGUCAAGGUUUUGUUUCUGACUCUGCAAGGCAGGUGACAGAUCUGGGCAUCAGGGUUUUGCUUCUGUCUGCGCAGGGCAGGUGAGGGCUCCUGGCAUCAGGAUGUGAGGCAUUAUUGAGGAGCAAACGUGGAAGAUUGGUCCCUGUUGCAAGUGAGGGUGUCUCAGAGUUUGCAACAAGGUGAGGUGAGAUGCAAAACCGAACGACGCAAAAUAAAUAAUUUUUGUUUUUAUUAAUCUUGCAAAAAGAACAAAUACGUCUUUGGUUUAGUCACGAAUCGAAGCUGAAUUGCAUUCUUUUUUAAGACAACUUUUUUUCCCCAGCCCAGUGGAGACCUCAGUCAAAAUCAGGUUGUUUUGUCUCACAGAGCCGGCCUUGAGGAGAGAGUAUUAGCGCACCCAAAAGUGGAAAUAUUCAGUGAAUCUUUCUAAUGUUGCAACCUCUUUCCCAGGAAAAGCCUCAGAGCAUCUCUUAGGUAAGAUUUGGGUCACAAACUCCGGUGCCUGCACAGAGCUUAUUGCAGGAUCAGGGCCUUAGUUAAUAGCGUUACCUCACUAGUCUUCUGACCAAAGUAGAGUGGGGAGUUGGCACACUAGUUUAGGUUAUGGGACUUGAGGGGGAGGCGAGAGAGCUCCCUCAGAUUGAUUUGUUUUCUAUCUGGUUGCCUCCACUCUCUUUAUCAUGUGGGAUAUUUUUUUGUGGGACGACCCCAUCCCUCCUGCCUAUGCAUUGUAUCUUCCUGAAAAGCAGAACCUUAAAAACAGAGUGAAGAAAGCAGAGAUGUGGCAAGUAACAUCUCAUGCCCUGUAGGCUGUGGUUUCAAGAGCGCCUCAUUCAACAGCUUAGCAAUGUUACCAGGAUGAUGGAAAAUAUAUGUGGGGGAGAGGGGUGUUGCCCUGCUAGCCACUGGAGUGAUUGUGUGGGAGAUAAUAGACCAGACAAGUCUGAACUUCAGCAGCUGGCUCACAAGCAAAAAUGUCUCCUAGAAGAAUUCAUUAAAGGACAAGAAGUCAUUUUCUGGUGGAGCUUAUUAUUUUUUUAUUCUUAACAACAGUAAGCAGUUUAACGCAUCUCACUUAGCUGUUAUAAUGCAGUCUAUAAACGUUGGAACGGAUUAAACUUUUAUUACCUGCCAGAUAGUAAAAUCCAGUACUUCUUUUACCAUAUACAAUUUUUGUGUGUGUGUGUGUAUUUGGAUGCAUAUGUACUGGCUGAGAUUUAUAAAGCUACCUAAGAAAUAUGGAUGCCCACUUCCCAUCUAUGCGUGCCUGUAUGCCUCUAUAAUGUGUCCAUUGUACAGACAUAUCUAUGUGCGUGAAUUAAUAGAAAUCGAGCAUACAGAUCCCUUCGACAGCUUUGCACUUCUCAGCCAGUAUGUAAACGCUACAUGCACACGCAUAUGUGCAGUAGAUUCUUUCCAUUAUUCAGUCCUGUAUUCCCGUGGGCCAAUGGUAAACUAAGAAUCUAGUGUUUUUAAAUGAUCUCUGCUUUACUCUUUCCCAUCCCCCUACCCCCCAGCCCCAUCUAAUUGUCUUAGUUUAAACCAAUAAACAUGUGUGCAGUUUGUAUGUUAAUAGCCUUAUGUUGGCCCCACUAGACUGUGUGCCAAUAGAACUGGCCAUUUCCCUGUAUCCAGAAAGAUGAUGGCGGGCUCUGAUCCCAUGCCACUGAAGUCCAUGGGAAUUUUGCCACUAAGUUGGAUGGCUCCCUAAGCUAGAACUGAGUUGCUGCUUGCCGGUAGUGACGGGAGAACCGAGCUGAAACCACAGAGUGUGAGCUGACGAGAGGGCUGGGGCCAAAAGGAGGCAGCAGUGGCUUUGCCAGCAACAGGAGAGAAUUGUACGACAGGAGCCAGAAAACACUUCACGAAGGGGGGAGGAAGAGAGCAUGCUUUUGCUCUUCUCUUCGUACAUGAAAAACUAACUCUUUUACUUUAACAAGCAUCAAAACAAAAGCCCAUAGACUCUGCAGAGGGAACAUUGGCCAGGCAUGGCCAUAAAUCUCAGAGCAAACACUCAAGCCAAGAUGCAGUGAAAAUGGCUCAUCUCGGCCCCCACCCUCUACUUAGGGAUGCAAUUCACCCCAUGCAGAGGGUCAUCUCAAGGCUACGUAGUACUUCUGAUCCACUUUAAGUGACACCAAGCGAUGGACUGGUCCUAGACAAAGGGGCGAAUGUCACCCUCAGUUUUCAAGUGGGCUGUGGUGGCCUUAGCAGGUUGGUUUUGUUCUGUCUCUCUGGUUUUGUUCUGAGUUUGUCUUUGGUCCACUUGAUAUGUUUUUUUACCUGCCCUGAGCUCUGGGUGUAAAAUCAAGGUAUGGCUGAGUUUUGUACAGCUGCAAGCAGGCUGCCACUGCUUACAUAGUAAUACCUCAAACUUAACAGUUACUAUAGUAUCUGCUGAAGGAGUUUGAUUGGUGGCAAAUGCUCAGGACCAGGUAAAGAACCAUGGUUGUGCAUAAGCAUUUCUAGCUAGAACUCACCAUCUUCUUUCACUAGCUACUCAAAACCCCUAUCGUAUGCCACUAGGGCAAUAUCACAAAAAUGGCUUCAUUCAUUUGUUUCCAGUUGCUGCAUGUUAUUGAUCAGUGAAAGGCAAUGUUUAUGCAGUAGGGUUUUUUUCAGCUUUCCAGCGGGAUGUUGUGGGUUUGGUACCAGCCUUCAUCAAUUACAAUAAUAGCUAAAUAAUAAUAAUAAUUCUUACCAGUUAUUUUCUAAUCUGAAAAUGAACUAAUACCAAGCUUCUAGUUCUCUUAGCCUUCAAGGGGAAUGCCACUGUGCUAAAAAGAGAAACCUCCACCAUUUUCCCCAGUCUGAUUUUUAUAGAGGUAUAACUGUUCUGAACACCAAUGUUCUUUAAGGCCCCAAUCCAGCAAAGCCUGUGUGCAAGCCUAUUUCCAUGCUUAAAACUAUGCACAUGCUUAAGAGUGGAUGCUGGAUUGCAGGGAAAUAGGGGGGCAUUUGAACUGAGUGCAUCACGUGAAUAUGUACCACCUCUAAAAUGAACCUGAGUCCACCCAAAAAGCUCUGAAACCAGAAGGCAAAGAAAAAGAACCCCAAAUUUAUCAUUUUUAAAAAUAUUCUGAUUUUUUUGAGUCCAGAGACUCAUGAUUUUUGAACGUGUGAGGUUGGCAAUACUGCUAAAACAAAAAUCCUUAUGUAAAAAGCCGCCCCCUCCUCCCCUCCCCCCCCCGUAUACGUCUGGAAAAGCAGAGACCUUUACCCUUCAGCAAGACUAGGAUGUGUGUUAGAAGAGAGAGAUCCUGAAGCGUAACCCAUCAUCUGGAGCACACACAGGUGUGCCAGAGCUGUUCUAGACCGUUCCUUGGUUAACCUGCAGCACUAUGCUUCUAUUUAGCUAGUCUCGUCUUGAAGAAAUAAUUGAAUUUUGAAUGUCUCCUUUCUGCCAGCUGUUCUCCAUGUUUUCCUUUUGUGUUUUUGUGCGUGUGUGGUGCCGUUUCACAUAGGCCGAGAUGAAAUCCAGUCAGUCAGUAUUCAGGGACAUCUCAUUGGCAGAUGUGUUUGCUUGUUUGUAGGUUAAAAAAGACAGUUCUGCAAUAGAAACUUCCAGUUUUUCCUUUGUAUGUUGGGAAUGGGUAACGUCUGCUUUGAGGUGAAGGCCUAGGCUUUACUUCUGUUGUGCAUUUCAUUUAAAAAAAAAUAACUUCCCCUCCCUCGAUAUCAUCAUCAUCACCACCACCACCGCAUCCCUCCGCGGUUGCUCAUUCUCAAAUCGGCAGGUUUUGGUGACUAAAGAAUGUUCUGUCGCAGCAGCACUGGGCUGACAAUUAGAACUCCAAGGGCCCGAUUCUCAUUUACACCAAAGUCACUUUACGCCAUUCUGGCAAUGUCAAGGGAAAUUCAAAUGGGUGCAGGCUACAUUCAUGCCCACUUUAAAGCCUCUUAGCCCUGCCAGAGCAAUGAAAAAAGGGGUCUUCGUAUCAACGAAAAUGAGACCCCAAGGCUCUUUGCUAUUCCCAUCUUCCUCUGGGUUUCUAUUUGCUCUGACUUUGUAAACGUAUACUGUAGCGUAGGGGGCAGGAGAAUACAUUUAUUGGUUUUGAGGUGGGGGUUGUUUUUUAAAACUUCUCUGGGGGGAUAAGAAUGUCCGUUUUCCCAUUGUUUUUGAUGGCCUCUUCGAGUGCAAUUCUGAAAAUAUUUCCCAAUGCAAAGGCAAUCCUCGUUUGUCAGCAGGUUUCCUAUAGACGUGGGAAAACCCACUGCUAAUGUUAAUAACAACAUAGGUCUUAAUCCUGCAAUUGAUGGUAGGUGACCACUGCUAUCAGUUACUGGAUCUGUGGCCUUAAGCUGCAGUUCCAGAGCAGAAUGCUGACCGCCCCUGCUCCACUUUUGACGUCGGUACCAAAAUUCCCAUUGACUUCAGUGGGACCAGGACCCAGCCCUCUGUCCCAUUGACUGUCUCUCUUCAUUCAUAACCCCCUCUGCUUUACCUGUGGUAACUGAUAUUCACUGCGGUCAUUAGAGGCACUGAGGAAGGACUGGGGACUUGUUUCAUCACAUGCCAGAUACUGUGCUGGCCUUAGAGUCGGAGUCUGGGAAGGGGUAGUCCGAGGGGGUGAUAGUUUGUUGGUGCUGGCUCUAAUUCUGCAGCGUUUCCUUCCAGUGCAAACUCCUUUCUGCGUUAUUUUUUAGGAGGUCAACCAAAACUAGGCCCUCGAACCCACAAUGCCGGUGUCAGACUGUAAUGACAGUGCUCCCAUUGAGUGAACGGGCCAUGCCUCUUCAGUGUUCUCUAACGCUACCCUUGGAGGUCAUGUAUUUAAUGCACCAACUCUCAGAGCUGGAUGCUGUAAACCUUUACUUGUGUGAGUAGUUAACCUUGAUCGCUCCAGUAGGAAUAUGGAGGGCCAGUCCCGAGGUCCUUGGUGGGCCUAGGCCUGGUAGAUGGAAUUUUGAACUGGGGGGGGGCCCUGAAAUCCUGUUUCUAAGUCUGAGGCAAAGAAACUUGAGAGCAGGGCUUUGUGGAGCGGGCUGUAUGUUGGAUUUUCCCAACAUCAGUGUUACUUUGCUUCAAACAGCUCGACCCUAGGCUGCACCUUGAGAACUUUCAUUUGGAUGGGCUAUUUUAAUGGAAUGACCAUGCCAAUUCUUAGGUGAGCAUUUUGGGACAGACUCUGGUGUAGAACCCCCUUGCAGUCAGACCCCCUUGGAAACUCUGUUGCAUUUAGCAGAGUUACUCCUAGUGUAACUCACAUCAGAAUCUGGCCCUUUCCCUAGGGCACUUCGCUGUUAAUGGCCAUUUUAUUCCUGUUGUGACUUACUUGAACAGGGCAUUGAUUACUCUUUUUCUUGAAUUAAAAAAUCCAGCCCUGGUCCAAAUUACUGCUAAGCAGACUGAAGCAGACCAUAGUUAGGAGGCUGUUGUGUGGCUCAGGUUUUCUGGCAAAUAACCAGAUCAGAGAAAUUCUCAUUCCUAAGCCUUGCCAACCCUAGGACCUAUGGCCGGUCACCCUUCCCACCUUGUGCUUCAUUCAGCCCAGUUGGAAAAUUGGGAUAAACACCACUGAAAUCUCCAGAGACUCCUUGAACACAAUGCAUCUGAGCUGAACUUUCCUGUAUAACUUAAUCACCAGUAUGAUACGUUCAAGCCCUAAAUGGCAUCUGAAUUUUUGGCAAACACUCCUGGUGCUGAGAGCAAAAUUGUUGCUGUUAUCGUACAGUGGGGUGUGAGGGACUGGGGGUGUGAAAAGAAACAUUUGGUAACACGGCCUUGUUUAUUUCCAUUGUGUUCUGUCUUUGCUGGUGUCUUGCAGAAACGGGAAUUUACAAAGCCGUUCCUUAAUUGGAACCAUCUUUUUUUUUUUUUUUUAAUUGGGAUAAAUGAUGUGAUGGAGACUUUUCUUUAAAAAAAAAAAAACAAUGUUCCGGAAAGUGGCUGACUGAAGGGGCAGUUCACCCCUAUGCGAGGGACUGGUGCAACACUUGUGUUCCCUAAGACUUUAAUCCUGCACAGACUGACACACACAUGCAUGUUGAGUGACUCAGCUGAAGCCAGUGGGGCGGUUUGCAGCAUGCAGAAUUAUGUCCAUGUACCAGUCUUUGCUAGGUUGAGGUGGAAAGGCUUCAGUGAGAUUUAAAUGGUUGAUAGCCCUUGUGCCAACCCUCUGCACAGAGGUGAAUUUCACGCGGUCGCGUUGCAACAGCAGCGAAGGGUGUUGUUCUUGUUCUUGUAUGAAGCGUGGAGCUGGAAGAUGGAUGGUUUUGCUUUACACAGAGAGUGCACAUGCUUAUUUUACUUGCUGGUCUUUUGCUGAAACUCGAGAUUUGUUGUACUGUAUGGAAAAGAAAAAAAAAAAAACCCUCAUGUUCCAAAACAAAUGACAGUAUAUUUUGUACUUUGUAAAGUGUUAAUUAAAAUGGAAAAAAAAAAAAAAAAGCGAAACAUACGCUGUCUGCUUUUGUACUGAUCAAACUGAUUAAAAUAAAGCAGAGCUUGGCAUUGUCUUUAUAAGAUGUAACUCUCUUUUGUUAAGCCUUUUCUAAAAGGCAACGAAUGCCAGGGAAAGAAAAGUAUGUCCUAGGUUUUAUCCCAAUACUCAGCUGCUUGCAUCAAAUGGUGACCAGGCAGCUAAGAUCCUGAACAUCCUGUUGACCCUUGUACUCACACCAAGCUCCAAUGAAUUAUAUAGGCCUCCCAACAGUUGCAAGGGUCUGUUCAUGUAGAUCCGAUUGUAGGGUCAGGGUUUAGGUGGUAGCAGGCACCAGAAGGCCCCUGGCCAAAUCCAGCCCAGAUGGGUAUCGAUACAACUCUGCUGAACACCUGGAGGGCAGUUCCAACUCUGAAAUCAAGCCCUCUGUCAGGACGCCAUGUGUGCAGGGAGGGAUGCCAGCAUUCUUGGUGGUACCAUCGUCCAGGUGCACUGGUGAUACAGGGCUCACUCAGCUGGAAGGUAAGCAAUCCAUCCCAUUGCACUCUUUGAAAGCAGGAGCCAGUAAGCCUAGCGCCGUCCCUUAUGGGGAGUGGGGGGUGAAGAGGGGGACUGCAGAACUGUCUCCAAAUAUUGCAUUAUACAAGUGUCACUAGGACCUUUUGGACCAUUGUUAUUAAUUAUUAUUAAGUGCUGGCAAAUGUUCCCUUGUUCUGACAGGUAUCUCCCAGGCUGUGGGAGCUAUGGGUGUGUGUUUGCCUACACAGUCACUGCCCUCUCUGCACUGAAGUCUGUGCUUUGGGAAGAAGGGUGCCACACAAACCCGAAUCUGAGCUAAACUUGCCACUCUGGCUCCGUGGAGGAUCUCCAUCCAACUGGACCCAGGCCCAUGUAGAUAGGCUUUUGUGGAGGUCUGGGUAAGGGGAGUUGAGGCCAGUGCUUUACCAUCCAAAGAUCCAAAUGACACUGAUCUUCUGCCUCAUUCCCUUGACUUAGGACCCCAGCUCGAUGUGCUGCAAACUCCCUUAGGCUAGCUGUCCUCACAGCAGUGCGCAGGCCAGUAGUUCUCCACGCAAUUUUGAAGUACACAGCUGCGGUCGUUGCCAAGGGAUGAAAUCCAGCAUGGACACGUCACCAUGUCAUGAUGGACUCGUCAACCCUACGCCACGGCUGGCUGCAUUUGCUGUGGUCAUUGGCAAGCUGUGCAUUGCCCUGGUCCCGUCCUGGCCUGUGUUAUCCCUUCAGAGAUUUGAAGACUGGAAGAUGGAGUUGAGUACUGUUCCCAGAUCGUCUACACUGGAGUGGAAUGUCAGGAUCCCAGCAUUGUCUUCUCCUGAAGAGCAUCACUCAGUGGAGGGGAACAUCGAAAACAUAAGAAGUGUGGGAAAGAGGCAUCUCCCCUGGAAACCUUGUCCCUCCAUUCAAGUGAGAUUUUAAGGCAGACCAUAAAAUAUUUUGCACCAAAUUCAGAGAUGCCAAAGGACCUUGCAGUGGUCACACUACGUUGUACAGGAUGGACACACAGGAAUUUCACUCAGAUCUUCAUGGUCCUAGAAGCACAGGUCAUCACUACGUGAGCUAAUGGAGAAUCUUCAUUAACUGUUAGCUGUAUAGAGCCGAUGAAACAUGCUUGAGUAGUUCUGAGUCCCUUUAGUAGAAGACAGUGAUGCAGUCUCAUGACCGGUUACAUUUAAAUAAGCACAGAUGGUAGGAUUUGGUCUGAAAUGUAUCCACUUGAACAAAAAUUACAGAUCCCUCAAUAAAAUAAGAAUUGAUUUGUUUGUCAGGUCUAAAGCUCUUCCGGUCAGGGACCAUAGCGUCUCCUGUGUUUGCAGAGUGCCUAACAGAAUGAGGCUCUGGGUGCUACCUCGAUACAAAUAAUAACAAAUGUAUUUGCUAAGAAGAGGCUUGGGGAAAGAGUCCAAACUAACAAAUCAGGCCUGAUCUACUGUAUUUUAGGACUUCAAUGACUGGUAGAAACUCCUAGUUUUGUUGCAGCUUAGUUCGAGCACUCUGCAGUAUGCUUAUAAAAAUAAGAAGAUGGGAAGUCAAACCAAAGCAGGUCUAUUUUUGAGGUCUUCAAGUUCUAGUUCUCAGAAUCAUUUGGAUCAAUGGGGAGGCAAGAUAUAGUUGGUCUGAGUGUUGAGCGUGCCUAAAAUAAUCUUGGCUUUACAGGAUGUAAUAUAUUUCAUUUACAGUGACAUGGUUUAUUAACGCACUCUGGACCAUAUUUUGCCCUCCGACAGCCCCACUGUGAGGUCAGAGAUAUUGCCUGAAUCUAGCUAAGGGUGGAGCGUGAGCCGUCCCAGUAGGAUUUGCAGGUAUGGAAGUGCAGAAAUGAAUAGCUGGAGCGGAGCACAAAUGAAAUAGUCUUCCCGCCUGGGUAGCAGUCAUUUUAAUAACAAUCCUGCAGCUGACGUUACUCGGUUCCCAUGCCCCAGCUGAUUUGCCAUGGGCUGCGUGAGUCAAGGAGACUAAAUUCCCCUCACCCUGAGAGAUCGGCCAUGUGCUAUACAGUAUUUGUUGUAGGAAUAGUUGAAGGACUUGAGCUUAUAGGGCUAUCAGCCCAUUGUCUUACCCAAGGAUUAAAUUCAGCUGCGCGGACCCUGGGGUAGCACAAGCCAGGAUUUGGAUUUUCAAAACCAACUGAUGUCUUUGGGCUCUUCAAGUUGUUGGUACAGUGUAGUAUUAAUGGUUAAUAACUGUAUCACUGGACAAUCCAGAUUGGGGCCCCGUUGUGCUCGGAGCUGUACACGCACAGGAGGAACUGUGUUUCCUGCCCUGAAGAGUUUUCACGCUAUUUUCAGCCAAAGCUGAUAGCACAGUGGUAUUUGUAAGGCAAAUGACUCGUGCUAAUCAAUGCGAAUCAAGUGGGUUAUUUUUGUUCUAAUUUAAGAUGCUCCCGAUGUGCCUUCCCUGUUCUCCCUCUCCUACCCCCUCCCCUUUACUGCAGGUAUAUUUAUGGCUGUCUAAUUUGCUACUCUGAAGGACAAAGUGCUGCAGAGAUUCCUUCCAUUGUACUACUUCUCAGCUCCCUACCGUGGGACUAGAUUGUUAAUUAUACUGACAGCUGUGUUCCUAAACAGAUGUAAUCCGUCAUGGGGGGCGGGGGGGGGAUGUAAACUUUACAACCCCUGGGUGCCUCCAACAGGUAAAAUCUUUCCGAUUUUCCUCGUAUCCAACAGUUUUAAAAGGUUGAUCCUGCAUGGGACAGUAGAGGAUAACAGAAGAAUAUUGAAAAUCAGGCAUUUUAGUUACUGAGUGGGUGGACGACUGAAGGAAAGAAAAGGAAUCCUCUGGAGACAUGUUUAUAACACAUACCUGCUACAGGAUACGGGAUUUACAGGAGGAUAUAAAGCCUGAUCUAUAAUCAUGGCCUGGAGCUUGUGCUGUGGCGGAAAGUGCUGCAGGGAGAUGCAAUCUGAACAGCGUGCUCUGUGAUGUGGGGAGGGGACCGUGCGUGUGCAAAUCAAGAGUGGCAUGUCUCAAUUCAGCAAGAUGCUAGGAAAGGCAUUUGCCUUCUAUCCACAAAACAUCACCCGAGCCAUCAGCUAAUGCCGCCCUAGCCAGAGUUGGCAGAGACGAUGCCAACAGGCCUAAAGGGGAAAGCGCCAUUACAAAGGACCCACCAGUCUGCAGCAAGAAAGGGGAUUUCUCUUUCCAGAGAGCGACACCGCAGCAUGGGGGAAAACUAGACUCAUCAGCAAGGGACUGGCUGUUCCUUCAAAGCCUGGCCAAACACACCAUGCUCACCGAGGAACCAGGCCGAACAGCACCAGAAUGGCAUCAUGCCCAGACGCAACUGUGCAGUUCCAUGGAUAUGCAUCUGGAGGCACAGUACAGACCACUGCUGUGGGGAGACAUUACUGAAUGAUAUAUUGCCAGUAAACACAUUGGGUGAAAUUCCUGCAGGCAUACAGAAGAUGUGACAGUGACAAGAUCACUGAGCCCCCACAAUGAAGUCUCCCUUAGCUUCUCUUCUGUAAUUCUUCCCCAGCAGGGUUGUUGCCAAAGAUUGUGCUGUAGGAGCCGGAUAAAUUAUUCCAGGCCUUCAGUUCUUUGAACAACACCUCGCGGAAAAGAAUUUUCUUCUUUUAGAUGUUUCAGUUGAAUAAGGGAAGCGUCCUUACCUUUAUGGAUUUAUACCCCUGCCUGCCUUCCUACAGAUCCACUGCCUCCUGGGAAAUUGCAAGCAUCUUAUAAAGGCCAACUCAGAAAGAUCUGAAGAGUCUGUACACAGAGAAUUCUUUCUGAUGUCAUCAAUGCAGUUUUAGACAAUAGCCUCGGGUAAAUCUGAAGCCCUUUGGCACUGGAUGUCUGAAAAGGCAGAACAUGUAGAAAUGAGACAUCUUCAACCUCAGUGGCUCAGCCUACAAGAUUACGAAGGAAGGGUAGAGUCAGCGGUGUCAGAGUACAACCCAGGAGUCCUGACUCCCAGCCCCCCUCCCCACCCCCCAACUGUGCUCCCUCCAGAAAAUAACUCUCCUACAAAAAGACUUUUAAACUAAACUUUGCUACACGUUUAAAAACAGUAACAGUAACAAACCCACCCCUUUCCCUCAGAAAAGAAACUCAACAUCUUAUGUACCGCAAAACAGAUUGUAGUUUAGAAAACUGGCAGCAAAAUCAAGCUCAUAGUACUGCAGGAAUAACGUUUGAUCUUCCAGAACUGCUCUACAGGUGGCACAGGGGCCUUUUUCAGACGAUUUAUGCUUGUGUUCUUUGCAGAGUUUCUCUGGGAUGAAAUAUAAUGGCACUUGGAAGGAGACGUUGAGUAACACAGACAAUGGCUGGAAUGAAUGAGAAGUGCUGAGGAGAGAUGUCCCGAUCCUGAAGUGAUCUUACAACCAAGUUAGUCGAACAAGAAAAACAGCUUUCCUCUGCAUCCUGGCCUGUUCCGAUGAAACAAGCCCAUGGUCACGUCCCUUUGUGGGGACAAAGGAUUUUUACCCCCCUUGGAGAUGGCAGCAUCUGUUGUUCAUGUUUCCUAACUGUGCCACCUUUGAUUGGCUGCCACUGAAGGACUAGAACAUGGAUUUUGUUUAAAGGAACAGAGUCCACUAGAAAGUUCUGAAGUCAGUGGAAGCUCCAGGUGUUGACUUUCAAGAUGUUUAACUUCAUGCGUCAGAGCACACAGCGAGCCAGGUCUCAAAGGAGAUCAGUGUCAUCAUCCCCAUCUUACAGAUAGGGAAACUGAGGCAUUGAGCAGGGACAUGCCUUGCCCAGAGUCAUCCAGCAGGAAAGGUCCAUCGACACCAGACAGACUAUUGUGGGAUGUUAAAGAGGACAAGAGACUGUUGUUCUGCUCUCCUCCCAUGAAGAUGAAUCAUGCAAGUGGAUUCCUCCCAUCAGCCGAGUUUGCAGCUCAGAGCGCAUGGCAGGAGGGGAUGAAAACACCAAACAAAUGGAACUAGGCAUCUCUAUGCUGCUUCAACUCUGGUGGUGGGGUGUCGGUGUGGUGGUGGGGGAGGAUUAGGGAUAAGAGCCCGAGAUGGUUAGCUCUAAAGGACAUAUAGAGCUUGCUUAUUGUAGAAGCAUCUAUUACCUUUUGAAACAUAUGACUAGUAUCAAAGGGUUGCCGUGUUAGUCUGUAUCCACAAAAACAAUGAGGAAUCCGGUAGCACCUUACAGACUAACAGAUUUAUUUGGGCAUAAGCUUUUGUUUUCGCUCCAUGCAUCUGAAGUGGGCUUUUUACCCACGAAAGCUUAUGCCCAAAUAAAUUUGUUAGCCUGUAAGGUGCCACCGGACUCCUCGUUGUUUUUUUGAAACAUAUGACUGUUCCUCAUUUGUGUGUGUGUGUAUGUUCACCUGCUUUAACUUUACAAAUAACUCAUUUCCUUUUCCUAUCUAAUAAAUCUUAUAGUUUUUAUGGGA